AUUGAACGCUGGCGGCAGGCCUACCACAUGCAAGUCGAGCGGAUGAAGGGAGCUUGCUCCUGGAUUCAGCGGCGGACGGGUGAGUAAUGCCUAGGAAUCUGCCUGGUAGUGGGGGAUAACGUCCGGAAACGGGCGCUAAUACCGCAUACGUCCUGAGGGAGAAAGUGGGGGAUCUUCGGACCUCACGCUAUCAGAUGAGCCUAGGUCGGAUUAGCUAGUUGGUGGGGUAAAGGCCUACCAAGGCGACGAUCCGUAACUGGUCUGAGAGGAUGAUCAGUCACACUGGAACUGAGACACGGUCCAGACUCCUACGGGAGGCAGCAGUGGGGAAUAUUGGACAAAGGGCGAAAGCCUGAUCCAGCCAUGCCGCGUGUGUGAAGAAGGUCUUCGGAUUGUAAAGCACUUUAAGUUGGGAGGAAGGGCAGUAAGUUAAUACCUUGCUGUUUUGACGUUACCAACAGAAUAAGCACCGGCUAACUUCGUG
rnacentral:rRNA from 1 species